UCCCUCUUAGCUCAGUGGUAGAGCGCGUCACUAGUAUGCAAAGUUUAUGACGAAGCUAGGCUAUGACGAGGUCAGUCGUUCAAGUCGGCUAGAGGGAA